GAUGAACGCUGGCGGCGUGCCUAAUACAUGCAAGUCGAGCGAACAGACGAGGAGCUUGCUCCUCUGACGUUAGCGGCGGACGAGUGAGUAACACGUGGAUAACCUACCUAUAAGACUGGGAUAACUUCGGGAAACCGGAGCUAAUACCGGAUAAUAUAUUGAACCGCAUGGUUCAAUAGUGAAAGACGGUUUUGCUGUCACUUAUAGAUGGAUCCGCGCCGCAUUAGCUAGUUGGUAAGGUAACGGCUUACCAAGGCAACGAUGCGUAGCCGACCUGAGAGGAUGAUCGGCCACACUGGAACUGAGACACGGUCCAGACUCCUACGGGAGGCAGCAGUAGGGAAUCUUCCGCAAUGGGCGAAAGCCUGACGGAGCAACGUCGCGUGAGUGAUGAAGGUCUUCGGAUCGUAAAACUCUGUUAUUAGGGAAGAACAAAUGUGUAAGUAACUAUGCACGUCUUGACGGUACCUAAUCAGAAAGCCACGGCUAACUACGUG
rnacentral:rRNA from 1 species